AAAAUAAACUCUAAGAGCAUUUCUAAAAGAGAUGUCAAAUUUUAAACAUAAAAGUUAAAUUUGAUUGUUUAUGUGGCAAAUUGACGUUUUGUAUAAUCUUUUGUUUCAAAUGAUAUGUUAAAUACAAAAUAAAUUUUCAUCUACGUUUGAGGUAUAUUUAUUGAACUAAUAAGUAGAAAUACUGAUAGUCACUCAUAUUGUUAUAGUUAGCCCAAAGUUUAAUAUUUGAUGAGCCCAUCUAUUAAAAACCUCAAAAGCUCAAUUUGAAAGCAAUGUCAAAUUAGGCAGCAAGAGCCUAGACUAUUCCACAUCAGAAAUGAAGCAUCAGUUGAAAAAAAAAUUGUUGUUUUUUUUUACCAUUGAAUGUCUACUCGGGACUUUUGACCCUUUUUUUGGAGAUGCUUUAAAAGCUCACUUUUAUUGUUUUUAAGAAAUAGCCUACAUUUUUAAAUUGGUUUUGAAUUCAGU
rnacentral:lncRNA from 1 species